CCGUUAGCCAGCAGUUUGUCUCCUAAAAGAGAGCUGUUUAGAGAGGCAGUUUUGAAUUUAGGAGCAGCAAGAUGGAAGCGGCAAACCCUGGCGAUUCUCCGAUUAUGCAAGAUGUAAUUAUUCAGUCAGCAAGACACUUGCUGCAGUUGCUGACAUCAUCCAACUGA